CCCAUCUCCUCCAGGACUCCAACAGGGCAGCAGUCACAUUUAUUUGGGUUUGGGAACAAAAAAGGAGGAAAAUGAAUGGUAACGUGAAUAACUUGACAAGUAACGAGUAGGCUGGCUGCGACAGGGACAAUAAAUCAGUGGCUUGACACGGCUAUAUCAGUCUUCCUCAGCCACCACACGUUUUGGUUCGUUUCCGAUCGGACACAGAAAGCGCCCAUGGACAAGCAGAAACGAGGGUCUGGAGCUGAUGGGAUGGUUAUCAAUCACAGCAGGAUAGAGUCCUGAGUCACGGAGACUGAACAAGUCAUUCCUUCCCCUCGGUCUCAGUCUCUUCAUCACUUCGUUUCCUCAUUGUUUCCAUUUGAAAUGUGACUGUGGAUCUUUAGGUGUCCUGCAGCCAUCAGUCUUUAAUUAAAUACUCAGUGACCAAAAAGAGAGGGUGAUCAUACAUAGUGGGUCAAUUCUUCCCGCUCUCUUUAAUGCGCAUUUAAUUGCCCUUCUCAUCUAACUAGCGUAUUGAGAUACGUGGCCCUGUAUUUUAUACUACUGUCCCAUUCUGAAAUACAGCAGACCCCUUCACUCAGCAGACAGGGUGAUUCAAAAAGGAAGACAAGGCACUAAUAAGCCCAAGAAGGUGUCCCAUCAUAGAGCCCUGACUGAGGUUAAGAUAUUAAUCUAAUAAGGUGUCCCAUCAUAGAGCCCUGACUGAGGUUAAGAUAUUAAUCUAAUAAGGUGUCCCAUCAUAGAGCCCUGAC
rnacentral:lncRNA from 1 species